rnacentral:lncRNA from 1 species
CUGAAAUUUCAUCUAAAAUAAAUUACUUUGGCACUCAUCUGGCACGUUUUCUUUUUCUUUUAUUUAAUUUCUUAACGUAUUGGCUGAUCUGCCUUUUAGGACCACUAGUUUGGGCUCGGAUAGACAGGCAGCCUAGCUUCUCCAAGGGGAUUCCAAUCCCGGGUCCCUGGAAACCUUAUAUCUGAAAUUAAGACUGAAGGCCGGUCUAGUUUUGACACAAAACUUCCCAGGUAUAGGAACGCGGGGGAAGCGGGCAGCGGGACCGGCUUCAUUUCAGAGCUGACGUUUGCAAUCCCGAUGCACUAGCGAAGGCAGAGCUAAAAGCUCCGCGCUCUCCGGCUGAAUCCGCAUCCGCUCCGGGGACGCGAAACCGAAGAGGGAGGGAGCAUUCAAUGGCGACACCGAGCGCUGGGGAGCCGGCUCCUCGCGCGGAUCCUCGCUCCGGCUGCCUGGCCGCCGGCGUCCGGGUCCGGCUGCGGUGAGCGUGGAUGGCUCCCCUCGCUUCCUGGGCGGCGCAGGGAGCAACCGAUGCCUAAGGUGGGCACCUGCCCGGACGGAGAUCGGCCCCGCUGACGCACGUGGGAGGACCCGGCGAGGCCGGGGAGUGGAGGAAGACGUGGGCUCGGGAUUAGGACCUCGCCUUCCCUAACAAGAGUGACGGUGGAGCCAGGAUGUCCCAGGUUCGCAGGGACGGCAGUCACCCAACCCACAACCGGCCCCACCCUCCCGGGAGGGAGCGCUGGUCCCCUCCCCAAGUCCCAUCCCCACCCCCAGCUUCCCAGGGCUGAAACCCCGGGAACUGCCGCGCCAGGGAAGGGGCGGGACUGACUCGUGCGGUACCUGUCGGCGGGAUUUCCCGAACCCUGCCCCGGCCGCCUCGGGAGCGGUGUGGCGAGCCGGACUCCGAGCCGACCCAACCCCGGGGCAGCACCGGAGCGGACCGGGCAGCAGUGGGCGCUCGCGAUCCUCCUCGACCUGACACGCUAUCCCUGCGGGCCCGGCCUCCUCUGUCCCCUCCUCCCGCUCCCGCUCCUCCCCCUGCUCCUCCCCUCGGCGGCGGUGAUAACCUCGCCUCCCCGCCUGCAAAGUCCCCGGCGCGAGGGCAGCUGCGAACCGCCGUUACCGCCGGGUCUCCGCGGGCGCCUGCGCCCGUGUCUCGCCCGCUGGCCCGGGUCGUCCUGAAAAAGCUCGCUCCGCCGGCCGCCGGGGCUCCACGGCGCUGCCCAUGGCCAAGCCCGGGAGCCGACUUUGGGCGCCGGACCGGCUGGACUACCGCGACGCGGCUCAGAAGAGUCAGGAGGUUUGCUUCUGCCCGACGCGUCUCUCUAGGACCGACCCUGAGGGGCAGUAGGAGCGCAAAGCGCCGCGGAGCCUGGGUACCACUCUGGCUGGGAACUGGGGCGGGGAUAACAGCAGAAAGUCCGUCCUGA